UUUAUGAGAAUAAUACGAAAAAAAUUUUCAGCAAUAAAUUUGGGCAAGGUAGAAAUAUGCCGUGGUAAACGAGAGAGAUUUAGCUUGUCAAAAUCUAUUAUUUAAAAUAGGACGAAAGUAAUCCGAUCGGAGGUGAACUCGUCGGGACGUUUCACUUGCGUUCUCACAGCAUUAUACUACGAUGACUGACAGAUAUCGCAAAUUAUCGAUUAAUUCGACAUUAAGUUUCUUUUCAGAGCGAAGCAUUCGAAUGCCAAGUCUUGAAAUGCGAUGGAGAUAAAACUCACAAACAAAUCCAGAAGAAAAAAGAUUUUCGAAAUACUUGGAAAUGAAAUAAUUUCCGUGGAAAUUGCGCGAGAUUCUCGUUAUGCAACGCCCGAAGACAAUCAGGGAGAAUUUCAAAAAAUUAAAUCAACCAUUAACGUUGGCAUGCAGUUAAGAUCUGACAUGAUUAAAAUCCGAUUAACGGGCUGCCAUGUUGAGUCAAGAAUAAAUUAGAAUGAUUUAUCUAUGGUAGCAUUCAUAUUACUAUAUUCCAAUAAUCGAUGCCUCACGAAAUUUGGGCGGGAGCGCUAGAUAUUUAUAAAUUUUAUCAUCAAGGCGGGACGAAUUGAGUAUUUCAUUUAGAUAUGAGAUAAAUAGUAAAAACACCAGACAAACAGUGUUGGGUGACGCCUUGACAAAUAGAUUUAAAUAUGAUAACCAUAAAAGGAUGUUAUCAGACAGAGUCUUACAUAACGAAGAUCAAGGUGAAUGGAUGACAAAAGUUCAAUAAAGGAAAUCGUUUUGUGCAUCAUGUGGUUUUGUUAAUUUGUAAUUCUUCAAACGAAUUGGAUUGACCACAAAUAUUACACAUGUUCCGAUUGCUUUUAAUCUAUCUUCUGCAAAUAAAAUUAUACAAUUUUCAGCGGGAAAUUUUCAAAAUAAUAAGCGCGAUGUAGCAAUUUACCUUACCCGCUGGUAAUUACAUUGACGUAGAAUAGUUAUAUGUAGAUAAAAAUGAGCCCUUUAUGAGUUUGAGACACUUUUGGAAGUUUUAUAACUGCUGAUUAUAUUUUUUUGAAUAUAUAUCUGAAUAACAAAAUUUUUUUUUAACAUAAUGUAAUAUUAUUCUUUAACUAGACUUAGAAAAAAAAUGAAGAGAACAAAGCCCAAAAAUACAAUAUCAGUUCAUAGCGUAUUUUUUGAACAAUUGUUAGGGAACAUUUCAGAGGUUUUCCCUGAAACAAUGCUGAAGCUUUGAAUUCGUUUAUUUAUUUGAACGUACUAAAAUUGAAAAAAAUUUUGCCAUUUUAUAUAUGAAGCCAUACUUUUUGAAAACAUUUCUGACUAGUAUAUUGUGCCAUUAGUUUUUAUGCAAUUCAUUCGUUUUUAAUAUGUUUAAAACUUUCUUCUCAAUUAUUAUAACCUUUCUAAAGUAAAGAUGUGAGGUACUUAUAUUAAAUGUUAGCUGCAUUG